AUUGAACGCUGGCGGCAUGCUUUACACAUGCAAGUCGAACGGUAACAGGCCGCAAGGUGCUGGCGAGUGGCGAACGGGUGAGUAAUGCAUCGGAACGUGCCCAGUCGUGGGGGAUAACGCAGCGAAAGCUGCGCUAAUACCGCAUACGAUCUAUGGAUGAAAGCGGGGGACCGUAAGGCCUCGCGCGAUUGGAGCGGCCGAUGUCAGAUUAGGUAGUUGGUGGGGUAAAGGCUCACCAAGCCAACGAUCUGUAGCUGGUCUGAGAGGACGACCGGCCACACUGGGACGGAGACCCCGCCUAGACUACUACGGGAGGCAGCGGUGGGGAAUUUUGGACAAUGGGCGCAAGCCUGAUCCAGCAAGGCCGCGUGCAGGAAGAAGGCCUUCGGGUUGUAAACUGCUUGUGUACGGAACGAAACGGCUCUGGUUAAUACCUGGGGCUAAUGACGGUACCGUAAGAAUAAGCACCGGCUAACUACGUGCCAGCAGCCGCCGUAAGAC
rnacentral:rRNA from 1 species